UACGAAGGGGGCUAGCGUUGUUCGGAAUCACUGGGCGUAAAGGGCGCGUAGGCGGACCUGCAAGUCGGGGGUGAAAGCCCGAGGCUCAACCUCGGAACUGCCUUCGAUACUGCGGGUCUCGAGUCCGGGAGAGGUGAGUGGAAUUCCUAGUGUAGAGGUGAAAUUCGUAGAUAUUAGGAAGAACACCAGUGGCGAAGGCGGCUCACUGGCCCGGUACUGACGCUGAGGCGCGAAAGCGUGGGGAGCAAACAGG
rnacentral:rRNA from 1 species